GGCCUGCGCGGAAGAUGUAACGGGGCUAAACCAUGCACCGAAGCUGCGGCAGCGAACGUAUCACUUAAAGCGAUUCAGCGGGUUACGAUUGACGGAGCGAAGCGACGUCAAAGCGUAUACAAAGUCGAGUCGGUUUAAGGAUACGUUCGUUGGGUAGGGGAGCGUUCUGUAAGCCUGUGAAGGUGUGUCGUGAGGCAUGCUGG
rnacentral:rRNA from 1 species